AUAAAUCAAUCGGAGCUCCAAAAAUUAUGAAACCAGUUUCAUAAUUCUUCUAAAAUCAUGAUCUACAUGUUAGAGUAGGUUUUGUUAUGAGUUGGAUCUUAUUUGAGUAGUUUUGUGCAUUCUUACACUUUGGCCCCUAUAGUAAUUCGUAAUUACGAAUAGGUCCUGCUAUUGAAAUUAGAUCGACGCCCCGGACGCCCAGAAGACCCAGGAGGACGUCCCGGACUACGAGAAGACCCCGAGGACCUCGGAAGACUACGAAGAGCUGCUAGUUUGGCAAGAUGCAGGGUCCGAUUAGGAGUUCGAUGCCAACAACAACGGAUGGUACGAUUGAAGCUUAGAAGCCUGUGCUACGCUCAAGUGCUGCCUAUGAAGAUGAAGUUCGAGUUGAAGGAUGGCUUGAAGACCAGCUACCGCUACCAUUUUCUGUUUGUUCCAGUUUAGCCCAAUGGGCUUGUAAUAAAAGUUUCGUACUGCAAAUCCUCUGGAUAUUGUAAUAAUUAAAUCCAUGUUUGAACCUGUUUUAAGUGAGUAUGAACUGAUUUACUGCCUGAAA